rnacentral:rRNA from 1 species
GGAUGCGAGCGUUAUCCGGAUUUAUUGGGUUUAAAGGGUGCGUAGGCGGUCCGUUAAGUCAGCGGUAAAAUUGCGGGGCUCAACCCCGUACUGCCGUUGAAACUGCAUCCCUUGAGUGCGCGAGAAGUAUGCGGAAUGCGUGGUGUAGCGGUGAAAUGCAUAGAUAUCACGCAGAACUCCGAUUGCGAAGGCAGCAUACCGGCGCGCAACUGACGCUCAUGCACGAAAGCGUGGGUAUCGAAC